rnacentral:lncRNA from 1 species
GUGCAGCCUGGGUCCCGAUCCACACACUAGCUACAGGUGGUGAGGCAAGGUAUUUAUCAUUUCUGUGCCUCAGUUUCCUAAUUGGCAAAAAUAAGGAACUGAAUGCUGAGCUGAUAAAUCGUUUCUAGUGCUUGAGAGAUAAGAAGUUCCUCAAGUUACAGGCAUGAUUAAUUUCAGGAAAGCCCCUUGGCCCUGGUUAAUUGUUGACCUGUGUGUCAUACUUACUAAUUAUCUGGAGACAAACCUGAAAUAUUUGAAUCAUAUCUCAUAUACAUUGAUAACAGUUCAACCAUACAACUAGUGUAUUUCACACAGAAGUUUGUAUCAGACAUUAGCCAAAUCAACUAUAAAAUACCAGAUUAGAGAGUGAGAAGGAGGAUACCAAACAGAGAGUUGGUUUGCUUGCAGGAUUUACCAUUUAUUUACUCUGUAAUGUACAGAUUUAUUUACUAUCUCAGACAUUCUAAUGCUGUACCAUUGUCCUUGGAAUUCCUGGAUGAAAGGGGCAAAACAUCGCAUGUUCUUCAGUUGAUAUAAAAAGAUAUACCUUCCCUGUGUUCUUUCCUUUAGAAUUGCUGGAGUGCUUUGUAUUUCUGCAAACUGCUACUAUGCUACUAGCCCAGCUCCAGGACACAUGCCUACCUGAUACCCCAAGAUGCUGCAUGCCAUAGCACAAAACAUGAUGAACUGAUAAGGGAAGGAAGGAAGGGACCCUGAGAGACAAGAUGAACAUCUGAACCGAAACUGGCUUCUGUGUGAAAGGCAAACUUCUGUCUUGGUUGUGUGUUGCACGUAUUAUUAUUGUGAGUCAUUGUGGUAGGGAACUAGUGGCAGGAUGAAAUGGAAAUGUCCCUUCCACAGACAAGGAAAUGGCCUCUUUGGAGCAAGUGUUGUUUGACUGAGUGCAGAGGAUCUGGGAACUUAUAAUUUCUUGGCAGCACCCCCGCCAAAAGUCAUUGAAUGCUUUUAGGAUUCCCAAAUUCUGUUCCAAGGAAUCAUCAGGAUCCAGGGAAAGAGGUGACAAGGUGGGAGUGGUGGAACAUACAGUGGAUGAAGGGAGAAAAGGAAGAAAGAAAGGAAGGAAGGAAAGAAGGAAGAGAGAGAGAAAGAAAGAGAGAGAAAGAAAGAAAGAAAGGAGAUAAAGGUUACAGUAUAACUCAAAUGGUAAUAUUCUUACUCACUUUAAGAACCAGGCUGAGGAUUUAGCUCAGUGGUUCUGGUGCCUGCUGUGCAAGCACAAGGUCCCGAGUUCAAUCCCCAGUACCAAAAAAAAAAAAAAAAAGAACCAUAAUGCACAUAUAAUUUAACUCCUAUACCCAUUUUCACUACUCCCUUCAGUCAUGAAUAAUUCAUCACUGUCUAGACUCUGGAUGAGUCAUGUCCAUAUUUGAAACCAGGUAAAUGGUAAAUGACCAUUUUAACAAUGAACUUUGAUUAUUUCUAGCAUGGUAUUCCAGAGGCACCAUACCUCGUUCAAGUACAUUUUCUUGUACAUUGUCAGUCAAGUAGUAC